GUUAAUUCAUAUUUUAUUUUUAAGAAAGAUACCUUAUUCCAGGAGAAAACAACAUGAAUGUCAGUGAAACAGCUACCAGAGAAGAGAGAAUACAGAGCUGAGUUUACUGGUCAAGGCUGUCUGUCUUUCCUGGCAAUCCAUCAAACAUAUGCAUAUUUUGGAAACCCCUGAAUGAUGAAAAAUGUGUCUUUUCAGUUUUGGGAGAGUUUCUUUCCAAGAAUACAGUGGUGCUUUUUAGAAGAGCAGUGACUGAGUAACAUACGCGUCAAUGGAAGUUCUUUUCAGAACAAACCUUACCCUACCAGUGUAGGCAGCUAUUGACUAACAUUACUGACUGGCUAAAAUUCUUGUUGCAUGAAAAACCAGGGGAAAAUACAGAUAAAUUGCUUUAGCAAGCACUUUUUGAAUGGUGUCUGUGAAGCAGACUCCUCCCUCGGCACAAGUUAGGAGGAGGAGGAAAAAGAACUGUCGGGGCUCCAGCACUGAGGCCUUGCUUGGCUGACUUAUCCCAGCUGAAACGGGGGCUGGCCAACAGGACUUCAGCCAAAACGCUACUGCUCUCCUUUUCUCCACCAUUAUUCCUAUUCCACUCCAACACACAGUUUCCACAGAAACAGGGUAGCACAGAGUAGCACAGUUUGGGUGCCUUUCACCGAGGUAAACGUUGUUUAACUGAAGUGUGAAUAAAGUAUUGGCUAGUUAACAUCUCAUUCCGGUGAAAAGCUUUAUUAGAGUUUAAAUUCAGAGAUUAUCUGGAUAAGAAUAAACAUAUUUGAAAUUCCUCUUCCUCUCUCAACAUUUUAGACCUUAAGCAGUAAUGCCAGGGACUGCAUGACUGUCUGGCAGCAGAAAUACUAAACUAAUAUUCUAAUUAAUCACUUAGGGCUUAUUCAGUAUUUUUCCCUACUAUUCAUCAUCAACACUGACAAACGUUUGACACAAGAAACAGAAUCAAGCAAACCACUCUAACAGCCCACUACACGGCUUGCACUGAGUCUCACAGCCAAGCUGAGACUCAAAGUGGAAUCCUCCCUACCACUGUGCUUAUUUCUUAAUUAGAAGGUAAUUUUGUACACCGAAACAUACAGUGAAGGUGGCUGCACUUCGAAUGUACUGCACGUUAACACUGGAACACCAAGCAGGUACCUGAGCAACAUGGUUGACUGAAAGGCUAACUCUAAUUUUGCCAUUGAGUGUUUCAGACAGCCUCCUGACCUUCCAACUGCCUGUAAAUAAUUUCCCCAUCAGAAAAAUGUUGUCAUGCCAGUCACUAAGCCCAGUGAUUAAAAGUUGGCAAGUACCUCUCAUUCCUUACAACAGGCAUGCUUUGCUGGGUUAUUUUCAGGCUUCUGGCCUUCAUUCUCAGCUGCAUGGGAGAGCUUAUUUGCAUGCUGACAGUGGUGAUGUGCUGGCCCAGUGAAUGCUCAGCUGAACAAACUGCUAUGAGAUGGCACUGUGGUGCAAUACGCUCUUAUCACCAUACUUGAAAUCAUGAAUGUUUACUGUAUUCCUAGUCAGCAGAGAGAAGUUUGUUGUCCUCCUUUUGUCAAGUAGCCAGGAGGAAAUGGAGAUUACUUUUGCCAGUGCUAACAAGUUUGGACAAAUCUGUAAGAGAAAGAAGGAUCAACAGUAUCUCCCGAGAGCAGGAAAGAAGGUAGUGAUAGACAGGUGAAGGACUGCAUGUAUUCUGGUUCAUAUUGUCCUCAAACUAUGUGAAGAAUUAGGCACAUGAAGAGGGAACACUAUGAUGUUGCCACAGCCUACAAGUGAGCCAAACACAGGCAUCCUGAUUUUUGGUACGAGUGCUGGGCAGUGAGAUUUUAAUGUUAUUCACCACUAUGGUUGAAGGCAUACCACAGGUAUUGCCAGAGUUUAUUUCUUUGCGUCUAUCAACAUUUGAUAUUUAUGCUGUGACUUCUAAAGCAUUUUAAAUGGCUAGAUCCAGUUGGGCUAAGGACAACAGGCAUUUUGCUGGUAGCUUAUUAGGGUACAACAUUUCACACCAAUAACGGUGAUCAAAAACAAUCAAAUUUUAUGGAAAACCAAGUGUGACAACAGGCACGGCCAGGGCUGGCAGGCACACACACAGCAGCAGCACAGCUCAUUUUCUCCCUCCAUCUUUGCAGUGUCCUGCUUCGCCCCCCCCUACCCCCUCCAUGUGAGGCAGCAGCCGUGCUGCAGGAGGUGGUCCCACCCAGCACCAUGCAGCAUCUCUGCUGCUCUGCAGCCUUGGGAGAGCAGUGAGAGCUGCUGGCCCCACUGGCAGGUAAUAAUUCAGGCUCUGUGUGCAGGCUGCCUUGGUUGUUUUCCUCUUCCCAUCCACACUGUGCUAGCGCCAGUACACAGAAAGGUCUUUCAAACCCUGGAGGUGAAAUGCCUCCUGAGAUAAUUAUGGGUGGGGGCAGAAAUAUGUAAUUAUCCCCCCAGCUCAGACACCAAGUCCCUGCAACACUUGCUCUUUACUGUCCCUGCAAAAAUCAAAUGCUGCCACUCAAAGAUAGAGACACUGGACCUGUGGGCAGCAACAUCCUGUUUUGUGUGCAGUGCUGCCAAGCUUCAGGCAUCAAACUUCUAAACAGCUUCCAUCAACAGGACAUCUAACUUCCAAACUUCUAACAGAGAAGCAAAAGGUAUAAAUGUAUUCCACAGUUACCCCACAAAUUCAGUGAUUAAAGUUUUACCUAACAUUCUAGACACACAUAUAUAUAUAGCACAAUUCCUGACUGUUUACAGCUCUUAAUAUACUUUAUUUUUUUAAGAGAGAAACUCGGUCAGAAGAAGAGUUUUCUCUGUCUAAAAUUCUCAUAGCAUCUACAAAAUAUGUCUCUCUACCUUUCUCCUAUUGCAGACUAAUUGACCAAGGGAAAAAUAAACACCUUUCCAUUUCUUAAAAUAGAAUGGGGGAAAGAAAAAAGAAAGGCAACGGCCUUUAAGUUAAUGGCCCUUAAAAGCUCCAUAAAUUUCAAUGUUUUUCGGUCUUUAUUUUGGCAGUCUGUAUGAUUCUUUUUGGACUGCUCUCAUCAUACUUCAAAGAACUUCCUAAUUGAAACUGUUUACCUUGAGCAUUAAGUUCUCCAUCUUCCCUCCAUAAAAGGUUUUUUUUUUUCAUAAUACCUUACUUCUAGAUUUUGCUUGCUAAUGAAUUAUCACCUCCACUUUCCACUUCACACAAGGCUUCAAAAUAGGCAUUAGAAAUGCAAACAACCUACAUACGAAAAAAUACAUUAGGCUUUUAAUAGUUCUUUCAUUCUAAUUCCCUGCGGUGCUACCGGUGACAUAGGUAAAAAUCAGAUGAGUUAAGUGCAGCUGGUGCAAAGGGUGUGAAAUUACAACUUAUCAGCCUGAUUGCCUGUACCCCUGGGAGGCUUAAAGCUGAAGAGUGCAGAUAUUGAUGCUCUCAUUUAUUAUUUUUUUCCACAGAGUGGAAUACACUUCAAAUUUGAACCUUUAGGUUUUUGAGGAUCCCGCUUGGAAGAGAUUGAUUUGACACAUUCCUGACACGAGUUCUCCUCCUACCCGGAUUUACACUCCCACCUGCCAACGUGCGCUGUCCUGAUUCCCCUUCCUGGUGAGCCUGAGCACAGGAAGCCAUCAUACACUUGAACUUAUUACAGGCCAGAACUAUGGCUGAUCAUCAUUUUUUUUUUUCAACAAAACAAACUUCCUUUAGGUUGCAUUAAAUAACUGAUAUUCACAUUUUAAUUGAUAUUAAAAUAUAAUUUUAAGAAUACCACCUGAAUGAUAUAUUGAGGCCAUUCACGAUAGAGUAUUUUCAGUUGUUAAACUAACCUGAAGAAAAAAAAAAAUCAAGUUAGAGUCAUAUUUUCUUACACUUUCCUACGUAAAAAGGAGCACAUGUUUAAGGGAAAGAGAAAGUGGUAAUGGAUACAUACUGCUCUUUGCCUGCCUGCACUCAGAAACAUCAUAGCAGAACAUGACCAAAUAUACCUUUUUGAAGGCAUGACGUUAUCUACUGGUCAUAAUGGCUCUGUUUUAUCUCAGAAACAGGACUGGAGAUUCCCUCCCUCCUGCCCCCAAGCUGUAGGAAGGUCAAUCUCAAGGAUUUUGCCUGUAGAGUCUCCAACACAGGCAAUUAGUUCUUUAAUAAGUUGGAGAUUGCUUACCGGUUUUAAGAAAGGAGUAAUGAAACUUGCUGAAUAUAUUAGAAAACUUGAGAAAUGCACAGAAAUGAUGUUAUUAGCUAUUUACCUUCAGGUAGCAGCACCUGCAGGCCCUUCAAAAUGCUGGUUCUUCUCUGUGUGAGGCACUUCAUACCACUCCAAAUUCUAUUCAAUUCAAGCUAAUGGCAAUGGAUGGAAGAUGAACACAGUCAACAGGGAGAGCUAGCAGUAGGGUAAUUAUCAUACCAAGCAGAGGUUGUAACAUAUGAGCUUCUUAAUUACUGAGAAGGAUUUUGUAGACAAAGUGGUACUUACUGUAGGAAUUUGGAGGAGGAAAAAUUAAUGUUUUAGGGAACCUCUUGUGCAACAUGAAAGAAGCAAGAAGUUACAGGAGAAAAAAGAAAGUUGGAUUGAUGUGUGGGAGAAGUCUUGUUGAAGGAUUGCCCAGACAGAUAUUUUCAGGCAGAUAACAUCAUGUCUUUGCCUCGGAUGGGUGAAGGUAUGACCUUGCAACACCUGUGUACAGCAGCUAUAGUAGUAAUUGGUAAGAUGACAGCACUAUUCAAAUGACACAUAGCUCUUCUUCACAUUUCCUCUACUGCCAAGACAGCCUGGGAAUUGGAAAACUGCAGUCACAGCUCUGGGAUCCUCAGCGACGCUCCGCAGUUGUCAGAAGCACCAAACUCUUCCAUGUCUGUCACUGGGUCCUGUCCACUGCUGACCAUCUGCAGAGGCACACAAAACCAAUUUCCCUCUCCUGAUUUCUAUUAGGGUGAUGAAAUUCCAAGUGUGAAAUUCCAAUUCACAACAGACCCUACUAAAAAGUCUGUCCCCUUCCUUCUUACAGCCCCCCUUUAGAUACUGAAAGGCCACUCUCAGGUUUCCCCAGUGCCUUCUCCAGGCUGAACAGCCCCAGCUCUCCCAGCCUGUCCUCACAGGAGAGGUGUUCCAUCCCUGGGAUUAUUUUUGUGGCCCUCCUCUGGACACCCUCCAACAGGUCCGUGUCUCUCCUGUACUGAGGACUCCACAUCUGUAAGCAGUACUCCAGGUGAGGCCCCACAGCACAGAGGGGCAGGAUCGUGUAUGACUAGAGAAUGAGAAGAAGCUAAGAAGCAGCAUUAAUAGCCAGGCAAAGAAAAAAUACGAGAUUGGCCAGCAUUAUGAUACGCCACAAAGGGUCUGAAAAGGAAACACAAAUUAUACGUGUUGAAGUUAACGAUGAUUUUCGCACUACCGCUCGAAACAGAAAGGUGAACACAGACACUCCAACAAGCUCAGAGAACACACAGCACAGACACAGCCCGGCUUUAUAAUGGCCCCGCGAUCCGUAUGGCGCAGACUCCUAAAUGGCACUUUCUGCACCGCGUGUCCCGCACCGAGCGCGGCCAGCAGCAGAGCUCGGGGGGCAGCGCCUCGCGGAGGGAUCUUCGGCAGGCCGGGGGCGCAGGACAGGCGCUGACAGACACCACCGCUGCCGUCGGCUCGCUGCCCGGGGAACUGAAACCCACCGCGAGCGGGCCGCCGAAAGGCCGCCGAAAGACGUCCCGCAGCGCCGCC
ensembl:lncRNA